rnacentral:rRNA from 1 species
UUGGGUUUGAUUAUGGCUCAGAUUGAACGCUGGCGGUAAGCCUUAAACAUGCAAGUCGUGCGGUAACAGACAUAAAGAUUUAGCUUGCUAAAUCCGGUGCUGACGAGCGGCGAACGGGUGAGUAACACGUAGGAAUCUACCCAGUAGCGGGGGAUAGCCCAGGGAAACUUGGAUUAAUACCGCAUAAGCCCUAUGGGGGAAAGAAGGCCUCUCUUUGAAGCUUUCACUAUUGGAUGAGCCUGCGUAAGAUUAGCUUGUUGGUGGGGUAAAAGCCUACCAAGGCAACGAUCUUUAGCUGGUCUGAGAGGACGAUCAGCCACAUUGGGACUGAGACACGGCCCAGACUUCUACGGAAGGCAGCAGUUAGGAAUAUUGGACAAUGGGGGCAACCCUGAUCCAGCUAUACCGCGUGUGUGAAGAAGGCCCUAGGGUUGUAAAGCACUUUAAGCAGGGAAGAAGUAUAGUAAGUUAAUAUCUUACUAUAUUGACGUUACCUGAAGAAUAAGGACCGGCUAACUCCGUGCCAGCCGCCGCGGUAAUACA